GAGUUUGAUCGUGGCUCAGGAUGAACGCUGGCGGCGUGCCUAAUACAUGCAAGUCGAGCGGAAAGGUUCUGCACUUAUUAUUUGAACGGAAUAAGUCUACCUCGGUAGAUACUAGUCGAAAACGUAUUUCAUUGGCUAAUGAAUGCGGUCGAAUAAUGGGUGUAGAAUACUCGAGCGGCGGACGGCUGAGUAACACGUAGGAACGUACCCCAAAGUGAGGGAUAACUGCUCGAAAGAGUAGCUAAUACCGCAUGUGAUCUCCGGAUUAAAGCCUUCGGGCGCUAUGGGAACGGCCUGCGUAUGAUUAGUUAGUUGGUGAGGUAAUGGCUCACCAAGACGAUGAUCAUUAGCUGGUCUGAGAGGAUGAUCAGCCAGACUGGGACUGAGAACGGCCCAGACUCCUACGGGAGGCAGCAGUAGGGAAUUUUCCACAAUGGGCGAAAGCCUGAUGGAGCAACGCCGCGUGCAGGAU
rnacentral:rRNA from 1 species